UCAGGAUGAACGCUGGCGGCGUGCCUAAUACAUGCAAGUCGAGCGAACAGAUAAGGAGCUUGCUCCUUGACGUUAGCGGCGGACGGGUGAGUAACACGUGGGUAACCUACCUAUAAGACUGGGAUAACUUCGGGAAACCGGAGCUAAUACCGGAUAACAUUUGGAACCGCAUGGUUCUAAAGUGAAAGAUGGUUUUGCUAUCACUUAUAGAUGGACCCGCGCCGUAUUAGCUAGUUGGUAAGGUAACGGCUUACCAAGGCGACGAUACGUAGCCGACCUGAGAGGGUGAUCGGCCACACUGGAACUGAGACACGGUCCAGACUCCUACGGGAGGCAGCAGUAGGGAAUCUUCCGCAAUGGGCGAAAGCCUGACGGAGCAACGCCGCGUGAGUGAUGAAGGGUUUCGGCUCGUAAAACUCUGUUAUUAGGGAAGAACAAAUGUGUAAGUAACUGUGCACGUCUUGACGGUACCUAAUCAGAAAGCCACGGCUAACUACGUGCCAGCCGCCGC
rnacentral:rRNA from 1 species